GGAGAGUUGGCAGAGUGGUCUAACGCGGCGGUCUUGAAAACCGUUGUCCCGCAAGGGACCGGGGGUUCGAAUCCCUCACUCUCCGCCA
rnacentral:tRNA from 1 species